rnacentral:rRNA from 1 species
UUUUAGAAAUUAAUUUAAAGUCUAACCUGCCCACUGAAUAUUUUAAAUGGCCGCAGUAUCCUAACUGUGCAAAGGUAGCAUAAUCAUUAGUCUUUUAAUUGAAGGCUGGAAUGAAUGGUUGAAUGAAAUAUUAACUGUUUCAUAUAAAUUUAUAAUAGAAUUUUAUUUUUUAGUCAAAAAGCUAAAAUAUAAUUAAAAGACGAGAAGACCCUAUAAAUCUUUAUAUUUAAAUAAUUUUAAUUAUUUAGAUAAAUUAAAUUAUAAUUAUUUUAAAUAUUUUAUUGGGGUGAUAUUAAAAUUUAAUAAACUUUUAAUUUAUAAUUUACAUAAAUUAAUGAAUUAUUGAUCCAUAUAUUAUGAUUAAAAAAUUAAGUUACUUUAGGGAUAACAGCGUAAUUUUUUUAGAGAGUUCAUAUUGAUAAAAA